AUACGAAAGUUGCAAGCGUUGUUCGGAUUUACUGGGCGUAAAGAGAGUGUAGGUUGUUUAUUAAGUCGGAUGUGAAAUCCCGGGGCUCAACCUCGGAACUGCAUUCGAUACUGGUAGACUAGAGUUCGGGAGGGGUAAGCGGAAUUCCGUGUGUAGCAGUGAAAUGCGUAGAUAUACGGAGGAACACCUGAGGCGAAGGCGGCUUACUGGACCGAUACUGACACUGAGACUCGAAAGCGUGGGUAGCAAACAGGAUUAGAAACCCUAGUAGUCC
rnacentral:rRNA from 1 species